rnacentral:tRNA from 1 species
GGAGCUAUGGCUCAGUGAUAGAGCAUUUACCUGUCAUGUAUGAGAUGUUGGGUUUGAUUCUUAGCACCA